rnacentral:lncRNA from 1 species
GGGAUCAGAUGUUUAUAUGUACAUUACUAGAAAUCCUUGUACCCUUUCCUCCUUAGGUAGGUGGAAGCUUCAUGAAGAUGAAGCUUUCCGUGUUCCUGUAUGUUGAGUUUAGCAAAAUCAUGUAUCUGACUCAAUUAUUGGUAAUGACAAAGACUCAUGUAUCUGACUCAAUUAUUGGUAAUGACAAAGACUCAUGAGAGACUGUAAAUUCCGUAGUUAUCAACAGAGUUGCUGUGUUCUUUUACUUUCAUUAGAAACUCGGUUUGGUAUGGAGCAUCUUUCCUGCUGCAGGGAACCUGUUUGUUUGACAAGAUGGAAGAAUGGUUGGG